CAAUCGGCCCUUUUCAGGGCCAGCAUACGUUCAUAAAAGGGUUUAU
rfam:Aedes aegypti strain Liverpool supercont1.631 genomic scaffold, whole genome shotgun sequence.